GGUGCACUUAUGCAUGCCCCUUACAGACCUCUUAGGAAUGGGGUGCUGUCAACAGUAAACAGUUUAAGCUUAAAGUUUUGGAGGUUUGGAGAAGAAACUAGAGUCAGGUAGUGCAUUCCAGGUAUUGACCACUCUGUUAUUGAAGUCAUAUUUUCUGCAAUCGAGUUUGGAGCAGUUUGUAUCUAUUAUUUGAGUUUGUAUCUAUUAUUUGCUCAUUUAUUGUUGUGGUUGAGGUUGAAGUAGUCAUUGACAGGUAGGACAUUGUGGUAGAUAAUUUUAUGUACUAUGCUUAGGUCAGACUGAUGUCUGCAUAGUUCUAAGUUGUCUAAGCCCAAAAUUUGGAGUCUGGUGGCCUAAGGUAUUUUAUUGUAAGCAGAGGAGUGGAGAACUCUUCUUGUAAAAUAUUUCAUUUCACAAGUGAUCUCUUAAGAUCAUGUCUUCAGAAAUGAUCUUAAGGGACCACUAGUCCCAUGUUCCAACUUAGUAUGGAACAUAUUACAUAAUUUCCAGCCUCUAUAUGAAGUAAAACAGAACUUACCACUUAAUGUAACAGCCUGUUACAAAGCCAUUGUAACAAUAAUAAAGGCAGGAUAUAUCUAUACUUUUAAAAAAAGAGUUUGGAAUCAGAAUUGUCCAAAAUUUUUGAAUAAUUUUGUUCUGAUCUCCAUAAGCAACUAACUUUGAAAAAUUAAACCAGUGCUGUACCUUUAGAAGAUGAACCUCUCUUCAAAGAAGCACAGCUCAACAGUCUUAUUGCUCAAGACAUCACUGCACUAGGUGAAAGCAUCUAUCAAUCUGGGAUCAAAUAUAUAUCUCAAUCUCAAACCAAUCAAGUGAUGCUGUCAAGGUUCAGCCCCAGUGUUUGGAGGGAUAGGAAGGAACAGAACCAGGCUUAACCCUGACAAGACUAAGGCACCCCGGGAGUGGUGAUUUUCCAUCUUUGGUCUUGGAUGGUGUUGCACAUUCAAGACUGGUGCACAAUGGGGGGGAGGGGGAGUGCUUUUUUGGACUCAUAUUUCCUGCUUGAAAAGUGGGUAGCUGCUGUGGCCAAGAGGGACUUUGCAAAAGUAUAUAUAGUGUGUCUGAACCAGAAUACCGUUUACACAGUCACUCACAACUUAGUCAUCUCACAAUGUGAGACAUUGUAUAUGAAGCUACCCUUGACUCAAAAGCUACAGCUGAUCUAGAAUGAAGCAGCCAGACAGUGAUGGGCAAGCCUUGUUAGGCCCAAGGGAACCCAAUGCUCCACAAGCUGCACUAAUUACUGGUCGACUUCCAGAUGAAAUUAAAAUGCUGGUUUUCACCUAUAAAGCCCUGGGUUAUUGAGGGAUCACCUGUCUCCAGUGAGAUUAGGCACAGUGGGCAGGUUUUGGAUCCUGUUGAUUAAGCAUGUCACUUAUGGGAGCCAGGAAGCAUGCCUUCUCUAUUGCAGCCCUCUGGAAUAAUAUCCCCAAGAGAUGUGGAGGGUUCCCAUCCCGAUGAAGUUUAGGAAACUAUUAAAGUCCUGGUUAUUUUUCCAGGUCUGGGCCCAUGGUAGCGAUUAAGCCCCAGAUGAUUAGAUGGCUUUUUGUUUAUAUACUUUUCUUUGGGCCAUUUAGGGUUUGCUUUCUGAUUUUUUUCCCUAUUCUUAUUUUUAAACUAUAAGACACCCAGUGCUCUUAGGAGUCAGACUGCCUCUAAACUGCAUAAUAUACUCUAAAAAGACAAGAGAGGGCAAAAGCUUAUUAGAAUAACAGCUGCUUUGCAUGAAGUAAAUGUCAGGUUUAAAUCCUGCUAUUCUCAAUUCAAAGAGGACCAGGUAGCAGAUGUCAUAAAAAUAUCUAUUUGAGAGCUACUCUCAGUGAUCGCAAAAAGAAUGACUUACGGUAAGUGGGCCAAUAAUCAGAUGUAAAAAUGUAUAGGGCAUUUACAUACAUAAAACAUACAUGCUACAGACAAGUAGCCUGGAAUAGCCAGUUGUGCUGUAGUUUUUGUCCAGCUGGAGGGUUUCGUUCUGUUUCUCCCUCUUGUUUCUUUCCUCUCUCAGUUUGCCCUUGGUUUGCCUUUACCUCUCCCUUUCCUCCCCUUCUGCCACAGAUCCUGUGAGAACAUCUGGCUUGGUGUCAACCCUGCUGAGUCAUUGCUGCGUAUGACCAGCAUGUGAGUCAUGAGAGGGAAGUCCCUUCACACUGGGUACUUUUCAAACCGGAGCUGAGUAAAAGGGAAAGUUGUCAAAGAAUGUUGGCACGGGUGAAGGCUUCCUUGGAACAGCGACAAGCCCUCUGCUCUCUGCGACUUACUUCCCUUUGCCACAGUAAACUUGUGCCUCUGAUGAAUUCCAAACUCUCAAGAACAACAGUUCCAGAGGACUCGAAUGAGCUGGGGAAUUGUCAGUAAAGGAAAUGUUAGAUUAGCUUGCUGGAAAAUGAAUGGACAUGUCAGAUUCUUGGAGGGCAUAGCUUUCUUCCACUUCAAGUUCACCAUUGCUAUUAAUAUUCCAUCUGCUUUGGGGAAAAACCAUUCUGAAGAGAGAAAGGCAAAUAGGAAAGUUGAGUGUGACCUCAAAGGCCCAUUUUAAAAUCAUCUUCUUUAUGAUGUGCUUUGCAAUCCCAUAUGACCAUCUGAUAUGAAAUGAUGUUGGUUUACAGUUUGACAAUUCGACAGGCUCCUGGAGAAAAUAGAGCCCAUCUCACACUUAUCUAGCAUCUUGCUUGUCAGCGAUGGUAUCAAAAGGCAGCACGGCACAAACAGCAGUACAACACUUCAUUAUUGCAGUAGCAGUCUCUGUUAUAGCAGCUUAGAAGAUGGCCUGCCAUUGAGGCCACUGGCCAGGAACGUUAUUUUCCUUAUUUGGCUGUAAAGAAAAUGGCAAAUUUGGUAAGCACUCAUUUAAGAAAGCAAAGUCCUUCCAAAUGCCACUUUGAGGUAUUCAGGCAUUCUUAUUCCCUCAUCCUUUAGGACAAAAGUUAACCCAGCCAAGUUGCUAGACCAGUUAAUACACUUAUUUUAGUUUAAUGAAAGUGCUUUUAGUCUUCAGUAUCUGAGAGGCAAUUUCUUUUUCAGCAACUAUAAAUACAAUAAAUAUUUUGGAGAUAGUGUCCUUCCUUUUCUUAAGAUUAAAAUGGCAAUAUAUAAUGCUCUCAAUAGCUGUACUUUCUCAUGACAAUCCAGUGAGACAGAGAAAACAGACACAACAAAUGGCUAUUAUUAGCAAGGGCUUCUUGAUUCUUAAAUAUUCUAACCAUUCUACAAUGCUGCUUAUUAUAUUAUUGGUUACUUGCUUUACAUAUUAUUUGCUUAUAUAUCAGCUGACUUGGAUAGAACAGCUUGUUGUGUGACUUGACCUUGAUUAAGGAAUUUAAGGGAGGACAGGAGAGAAAAGCAAUGGAUUGUGCUUUGUUUCAGACUUUCUCUGUAGGAGUUUAACAGUAUGACUGGUGGAAUGUGAGCAUAUAUUCACUGUCUCAUGCAGCAUUUCCUGGAAAUCUACACAUGAACUCCUCUAUCAAGAAUGGAAAAAAAAUCCACUUUAGCUACAUUAUUAUUAUGGUUCAUCACAGUCAGUGAGAUCUUCAGACUGGAUUUGGCAUUUUUAUCUACCCAUUGAGUCCUUCCCAAGGACUUAGGAUAGGCAGAUGUUGAUGUCUGAUGGUGUUAGAGAUAUGGUUGCAGGAUGUAAGCAGGGAUGGUAUUCAACUGGUUCUGACCGGUUCAGGCGUACCAGUAGAUCCGACGAUCAGCUGAGAGUGAAUCGGUUCACUCCGACAAUUAGAUGGGCCGGCCGCCCACCCCUGCGCUAUAAUCUACCUAUAUUUCUUUUGUUUUAAGCCCAGCUGAUAGACACAGCAGAAUGGAUUGCCGCAGCUCAGGUGUUUUACUCACUCUGGAUUCAGUAGAAGUUUAUGGCUUUGGAAGCAUUCAAGAUUCAUCUCCCUGGAUUUCGUUCGGAAAUGUAGGAAAACUCUAUAAUGGUCUUCAGCAGUGAUACAAGUUGAGAAUAGAUUUUGCCAAUCUGCAAAUAUCCACUCCACCUACCAAUCAAGAUGCAACCACACAGCCAACCAACCUGCUUACAGCAACAAAACCAACACUCCCCACCUCCCCACCAGUAUUUAUAGAGAGACGGCAGCUCCGACCACGCUUUGCUCGCACAAGCACGAAGCCGUAAGCACCAGCCUGAAGAUAAUGAGUGAGACCUCGUCGAAACAUCACUAAGAUACUCUCAACCUUACACGGGAAAAGACGCGAA